UGCCUAAUACAUGCAAGUCGAACGGUCUUUCUAUGGAAGCUUGCUUCCACUGAGAAGAUAGUGGCGAACGGGUGAGUAACACGUGGGUAACCUGCCCAUAAGAGGGGGAUAACAUCCGGAAACGGGUGCUAAUACCGCAUAGUUUUCUUGAUCGCAUGAUUGAGAAAGGAAAGACGGCCUUUGUGCUGUCGCUUAUGGAUGGACCCGCGGCGUAUUAGUUAGUUGGUGAGGUAACGGCUCACCAAGACGAUGAUACGUAGCCGACCUGAGAGGGUGAUCGGCCACAUUGGGACUGAGACACGGCCCAAACUCCUACGGGAGGCAGCAGUAGGGAAUCUUCCGCAAUGGACGAAAGUCUGACGGAGCAACGCCGCGUGAGUGAAGAAAAGGUUUUCGGAUCGUAAAACUCUGUUGUCAGAGAAGAACAAGUUGGAGAGUAACUGCUCCAGCCUUGACGGUAUCUGACCAGAAAGCCACGGCUAACUACGUGCCAGCAGCGGC
rnacentral:rRNA from 1 species